CUAACACAUGCAAGUCGAACGAAGACCUCGGGUCUAGUGGCGCACGNGGUGCGUAACGCGUGGGAAUCUGCCCUUGGGUUCGGAAUAACAGUUGGAAACGACUGCUAAUACCGGAUGAUGUCUUCGGACCAAAGAUUUAUCGCCCAGGGAUGAGCCCGCGUAAGAUUAGGUAGUUGGUGGGGUAAAGGCCUACCAAGCCGACGAUCUUUAACUGGUCUGAGAGGAUGAUCAGCCACACUGGGACUGAGACACGGCCCAGACUCCUACGGGAGGCAGCAGUGGGGAAUAUUGGACAAUGGGCGAAAGCCUGAUCCAGCAAUGCCGCGUGAGUGAUGAAGGCCUUAGGGUUGUAAAGCUCUUUUACCCGGGAUGAUAAUGACAGUACCGGGAGAAUAAGCCCCGGCUAACUCCGUGCCAGCA
rnacentral:rRNA from 1 species